AUAGCUCUUAAAGAAGACUUUUUAUAGUUAUUAAUCUUUCUUUCCCCAUAUUCUUUUUGUCCCUAGCUUUAUGAGGUAUAAUUGACAAAUAUGAUUGCAUAAAACUAAGGUGUACAAAGUGAUUAUGUGAUAUAUGUCUAUAUUGUGAAAUAAUUACCGCAAUCAAGUUAGUUAACACAUCUAUUUCCUUACCUAGUUACCGUGUGUGUGUCUCUGUGAUGAGAAUACUUGAGAUCUAGUAUCUUAGCAAAUUUCAAGUAUACAUUGUUAUCAAAUAAUGUCACUAUGCUACAUUAGAUCUCCAGAACUUACUCAUCUUAUGACAAAGUUUUAUCCUUUGACCAACAUCUCCCCAUAUCUCCUACCUCUUAGCCCCUGCAGCCACCAUUUUACUCUUUCUGUGAGUUCAUCUUUUUAAAAUUUGACAUAUAUAUACCCAGAAAUGGGCUUGCUGGAUUAUAUGGCAGUUCUAUUAUUAAUUUGUGGAGGAAUCUCCGUAAUGUUUUCCAUAAUGGCUUCUACCAACAGCGUACAAAGGUUCCCUUUUGCCCAUAUCCUUGCCAACACGUAUUAUCUGCUGUCUUUUUGAUAAUAGCCAUCUUAACAGGCAUGAAGUUAUAUCUCCUUGUUGUUUUAAUAAAAUCACAUUGUUGUACAACCAA